rnacentral:rRNA from 8 species
CAACUUUUGACAACGGAUCUCUUGGUUCUCCCAUCGAUGAAGAACGCAGCGAAACGCGAUAGGUAAUGUGAAUUGCAGAAUUCAGUGAAUCAUCGAAUCUUUGAACGCAUCUUGCGCUCCUUGGUAUUCCUCGGAGCAUGCCUGUUUGAGUGUC